rnacentral:rRNA from 1 species
GCAACGAGCGCAACCCUCGUCCUUAGUUGCCAUCAUUAAGUUGGGCACUUUAGGAAACUGCCGGUGAUAAGCCGGAGGAAGUGGGGAUGACGUCAAGUCCUCAUGGCCCUUACAGGCUGGGCUACACACGUGCUACAAUGGCAUCUACAGUGGGCAGCUAUUCCGCAAGGAUGCGCUAAUCUCCAAAAGAUGUCUCAGUUCGGAUUGUCCCUCUGCAACUCGAGGGCAUGAAGGCGGAAUCGCUAGUAAUCGCGGAUCAGCAUGCCGCCGGUGAACUACGUUCCCAGGCCUU